rnacentral:lncRNA from 1 species
UAGCUGUGACAAGUGUAAGCAGAAGCUUUUACAAAAGAAAAGUUAGUACGUGGAGAUGCUAAUGGAGGCUUAGGCAAAUGAGGACAGGCCACAAAGAGUCCUAUCGGUAGGCAGGAUUGUUGCCUUUUAACGUGAUCUUUCCUCCAGGUUAAUACUUUCUUCCCCAUGUAAUCAUGGCUAUUCUGCAUGCCGGCCAAUGAGGCU